AAUUUGCAUCCUUAUCUAUGUUUAUAAUCAGCUCUUCCUAGCUUUUGCUGUAGCAGAGGCAUUUAGACUAAGCAAAGCAGAACAGGUCAUUGCGCCACUCCGCGCCCGGAGCUACAAUCCAGCUUACAGAGAAUGACCAGAACAGUGAGAGAUCUUUUGGUCGGACUUCUUAUUGCCUGUGUCUGCUCUUCCUCUGUCUCUGAGGAAUGUAAGGGAUGCAAUAUUGACAAAGAAUGUUGUGAGCGGGAUUAUAAUAGCACUGAGUGCGAAAAAGG